AUCAGUUUGUUAUUCUUUCAGGUUAUUUUCAUCAGUUCAUUGUAUAAAGUAUACAAGAUAUGAAUAGUCCAGUUGAAAAGCGUUCACUGCAUGUUUGGUUGCUUUCUCUGCAGCAUCCUUGACACUAUUUGAUAAAAGUUCAAAAGUGUCAGAUUCUGGAACAACACACUUGAAUUUAAAGUCCCUCACAUUAAAAAGCUGCACAACUUCCCCAACUGUCAAUGUGGGAGAUAUUUCAUGGUUUUUUCCAGUCACAGUAAAUUCAUUGUUCUUUAAUCCAAAGUCAUGAUACUGAUUGAAUAUAUCAAUAAAGGUGGUAGAAUUAGAAAAUGGGGCUAUUAUACUUUUUUUCUCGUUCCUGUGUGGACACUCAUCGAUUGUUAUUGAUAACACACUUUGACUGAUGGCCA
rnacentral:lncRNA from 1 species